GACGAACGCUGGCGGCGUGCUUAACACAUGCAAGUCGAACGGAAAGGCCUGCUUUCCCUUGUGGUUUGCGGUUACUCGAGUGGCAAACGGGUGAGUAACACGUGAGUGAUCUGCCCCCAACUUGGGUAUAAGCCUGGGAAACUGGGUCUAAUUCCCGAUAGGACUGCAGGGUGGUGCCUGUGGUGGAAAACGAUUUUCUAGUGGUUGGGGAUGAGCUCGCGGCCUAUCAGCUUGUUGGUGGGGUAAUGGCCUACCAAGGCGGCGACGGGUAGCCGGCCUGGGAGGGUGGACGGCCACAUUGGGACUGGGAUACGGCCCAGACUCCUACGGGAGGCAGCAGUGGGGAAUAUUGCACAAUGGGCGGAAGCCUGAUGCAGCGACGCCGCGUGGGGGAUGACGGCCUUCGGGUUGUAAACUCCUUUCGACCGCGAGGAAGCCACCUGGUUGGAAGGGUGGUGACGGUAGUGGUAGAAGAAGCACCGGCUAACUACGUG
rnacentral:rRNA from 1 species